GUUGGGAAGGAUAGGAGGAACGAGGCCCACAUAGGGUCGAGAUGAGUUUAGGCUAGGCCCCCUCCCCCGCUAGAUGUGUAUUGUGAGUAUCGGCUGUCAGCCCCCACUCUCUCUCACAGGGAGUUACAACAAUAGGUCCCCCUUUUCGGCGGGAAAAAAGGGGGCGGGCUGAAGGGCGGAGCCAGGGGGCAGGUAAGCCAGGAAGGGGCUUUUUAAGGAGGAGCAGGAGGCCAGUAAAACAUAACCUGUUUUUUCUUUCAGAGAGGACACUUACCGGUACGCUGCCAGCUUCGUUGAAAAUGGAGAGAGGAAGAUCCACUGCGCCGAGAAGGAGGGUGCUGCGUCCUCAGAGGUUCCGUGACGAAGAAGAUGUUGGCCAAGUCCACGGUUCCGGUGCGAAGAGGAAGGUAAAUUUCUCCCCUCUAGGUAGACGCUCCAACAGGCGACGCAGGAUGAUGGAGGCCAUCACUGGAGACGACGCCGCCAGCAGCCACGGACCGGAGGAAGAGUUUGGAGGAAGCGGGUCGGAAGAAGAUGGCGGCGGUAUGAAGAUGCAGGCAUCGCGAGACUCGGAUGACGUCAUCGCACCGGAAGGAGGUAAGGGAGCCGGAGCGGUCCACACCGCUAAGAGCCCGAUUACGGCCAGCCACAGAGGUCCACAGCCGGGGGAGAAGGAGGCCACAAUACCCCAUGCAGCACCCAAGGGGCCCCAAUUUUGCUCAUCACGCCAGCCCACCAACGAUCGGGGAGCAUUUACGCCACGGGGCAAGACACCAACCAGGGGCCCUAUCUUAUUAAAACCCCGCCAUACAAACCCCAUCUCCGCCCAAACAGGGAACCCCCCUCCCAGUAGCCAGAGGGGGGUCCCUCCAAGAAGCAAGGGCCGGGAACUAGGAAAACGCGGGGGGAAAAGCCAGGCCCACCCCAACAACCCCAGCAGUCCAGCCCCUACAACUCCCCCGAUCCAUAGGAAUGCCCAUAGAGGGGGAGGGAGCUGGGAACAGGAGCAGGGCUCCGACGAAGGAGAAUGGGGGAUGGAGGCAGAAUCCACCCCAAACCAAUCUAGGGCCAGGCACCCAGGACCUUUCCCAAGGGGGGGAGGGAACUCCAGGCCCAGGGGAACAGGUGGUCACUCGUAUUUUCAAACCUCAAGACACUGGAGCCAGCCACAGUGGUCUGGGGAGUAUGACCAAUGGGAAGAUGAUGACUCUUGCUAUUUUAUCGAGGAAUACAAUUACGAGGAUGAUUAAACCGAGAGGAGGAGGAGAGUUGGAUCCAAUGGAGAAAGGAGAGAGAGCAGAAGGGAGAGGAGGAAGCAGGACCUUCAAGACGGCAGGAAGGAAGGGAGAGGGCUUCAUCCAGUACAGAAGGGCAGUCUUCACAGAACGGCGACAGGACCAAGGUGCCUACACGGAAGACUACUAUGGCUCGUGACCCCCUCUUAGAAGAAUUGUGUGAAAGGGCAGUAUCCGAAAAGACUCUUUCCAGCUACAAAAGGGGCUGGAAGAGAUGGCAGAUAUUCUGCAGAAGCGGUAAGAGCAAUCAAGGCACUAAGGAUUUGGUGUCAUUUUUAAUGGUCCUGUACAGAGAAGGAAAGUCAAGAGCAGGAGCCAGCAACGCAUUAGCCGCAAUUUCUCAUUUUUCCAUAGUAAAGGGUAGAGCAGAUAUCACACAUGAUCCAUUAGUUAGGAAAAUAAUGAAGGGAUGGGCAAGAGUUGAAGGCCCCAGGGUCGAUAAGCGAGAACCCAUAAUUGAAUGCAGACUAAAAAUGAUUCUGAACUCUCUUGAGGAGGUGUGUUCAGACCAAUUUGAAUGUAUUUUGUUUAGAGCAGCCUUCGCUCUGGCUUUCAGAGGAGCAUUUAGGAUAAGCGAAUUGGUCCCCCCAUCCAAGAAGGUAACAGAUAAAGGUUUAAUGUAUAGCCAGGUUUUAUUACAGGACAGGAAGUUGUUAGUUUACAUCAGUAGAUCAAAAACAGAUCAGUUGGGUAAGGGCAGAUGGUUCAGUAUAGAAAAAACUUCGAGAAUAACAUGCCCGGUCAAGGCCUUGCAGGAUUACAUAGGGAUGCGCCCAGCAGGGGGGCACCUUUUGUUAAUUCACAGGGACUUAUCCCCCAUGUCAGCAUUUCAAUUUAGGCAAGUGCUCAAAAAGGCAGUCAUUGCGAACGGAUGGGAUCCUAAAAAAUUUGGAUCACAUUCAUUCAGGAUAGGGGCAGCAACAGAAGCAGCAAUGAGGUGAGAAACAGAGGAUAGGAUAAAAGGAAUUGGGAGGUGGAAAUCAAAAGCAUACAAAAAAUACAUAUGCCCCAUAAAUGUAACACAGUAGUAAUCCUACAAUUUUUAACCUACCCCCCCCCUUUUUUUUUUUUUUUUUUUCUUUGGUUUGUUGCUGCAGGGGGAAAAGCUACCUGCAACAUUUUGAUCAUAGGCCACUCCUUUAUUUUUUGGGCAAGACAGCAUGCAGCAGGCAAGCAGUUGGGGUUACCGGAGGAACACAUGAAGAUUACAUGGCAGGGGUGGAGAGGCAUGAAGUGGGAACAAAUGAGAGGCCGGUUGUAUAGUUCAAUACAGAAGUUCAAGUUCAUAAACCUGGUGAUAGUACAUGCUGGGGGAAAUGACCUUACGUCAAUCAAAACCCCAGCGUUGAUAGAAAGCAUGAGAAAGGACUUGGAGGAUUUAAUGUCCAGCAACAAGAUAGGGGGAGUGGCUUGGUCAGACAUCAUACAGAGAGGAGAAUGGCGAGGAGCAGUUUCCCCCCAGGGCAUUGAAAGAGCCAGGAAAAAAGUAAACCGGGCCAUGCACAAGAUCAUGUGUUCCUCAGGUAACGGGGUAAUUAGACAUGACAAUAUAAGGUACCGACAAACACAGCUUUUUAGAAAGGAUAAAGUACAUUUGACAGAGGAAGGUUUGGAUUUGUUCUGGGCAAACUUCAGGAAUUAUAUAGAAGAAUGGUGGAGGUCGCAGGAGGUCUAGGUGGGCCAUGGAAAAGGAUAGGUGGCACCCUUCCCUUCUUUUCCAUUGGGUGGCAUCAGUGCGGCUCCAGGAAGAUGGAUGGUUUUUUCAGUGAAGUGCAGGCCUACCCUCGGAAAGUCGCGAGUGUGGAGCAGACUUUGACUGCACGGUCUUGUCUGUGUCAUGCGAGAGGCUGGGUUAGCGCCAUUAUUGCACAUGAUAGGGAGCAGGGGGAUGGGCUACUGGUUGGUCAACAGCGGGCGCUCUGCCCCAUGAUCCCUGCUCUCUAAAAUAACUGUUUGGUACGGUGUGGGCACCAGGCCCACGUUCUUGGCGAUUAUAGGAGCCGCAGCUGGUGGUCAGGGUGUACCUAGUCCUUGGCACAUAUAUAUAUAACUUUGUUAAUAAAAUACGUGACCUCCACAGAUUUUGCCACCUUAA